UGCCUAAUACAUGCAAGUCGAGCGAACGGACGAGAAGCUUGCUUCUCUGAUGUUAGCGGCGGACGGGUGAGUAACACGUGGAUAACCUACCUAUAAGACUGGGAUAACCUCGAGGAAACCGUAGCUAAUACCGGAUAAUAUUUUGAACCGCAUGGUUCACAAGUGAAAGACGGUCUUGCUGUCACUUAUAGAUGGAUCCGCGCUGCAUUAGCUAGUUGGUAAGGUAACGGCUUACCAGGGCAACGAUGCAUAGCCGACCUGAGAGGGUGAUCGGCCACACUGGAACUGAGACACGGUCCAGACUCCUACGGGAGGCAGCAGUAGGGAAUCUUCCGCAAUGGGCGAAAGCCCGACGGAGCAACGCCGCGUGAGUGAUGAAGGUCUUCGGAUCGUAAAACUCUGUUAUUAGGGAAGAACAUAUGUGUAAGUAACUGUGCACAUCUUGACGGUACCUAAUCAGAAAGCCACGGCUAACUACGUGCCAGCAGCCGCGGUAAUACGUAGGUGGCAAGCGUUAUCCGGAAUUAUUGGGCGUAAAGCGCGCGUAGGCGGUUUUUUAAGUCUGAUGUGAAAGCCCACGGCUCAACCGUGGAGGGUCAUUGGAAACUGGAAAACUUGAGUGCAGAAGAGGAAAGUGGAAUUCCAUGUGUAGCGGUGAAAUGCGCAGAGAUAUGGAGGAACACCAGUGGCGAAGGCGACUUUCUGGUCUGUAACUGACGCUGAUGUGCGAAAGCGUGGGGAUCAAACAGGAUUAG
rnacentral:rRNA from 1 species